rnacentral:rRNA from 1 species
GUGACGCAGCUAACGCAAUAAGUAGACCGCCUGGGGAGUACGGCCGCAAGGUUAAAACUCAAAUGAAUNGNCGGGGGCCCGCACNAGCGGUGGAGCAUGUGGUUUANUUCGAUGCAACGCGAAGAACCUUACCUGGUCUUGACAUAUCUAGAAUCCUGCAGAGAUGCGGGAGUGCCUUCGGGAAUUAGAAUACAGGUGCUGCAUGGCUGUCGUCAGCUNGUGUCGUGAGAUGUUGGGUUAAGUCCCGCAACGAGCGCAACCCUUGUCCUUAGUUACCAGCGGGUUAAGCCGGGAACUCUAAGGAUACUNCCAGUGACAAACUGGAGGAAGGCGGGGACGACGUCAAGUCAUCAUGGCCCUUACGACCAGGGCUACACACNUGCUACAAUGGUAGGUACAGAGGGCAGCUACACAGCGAUGUGAUGCGAAUCUCAAAAAGCCUAUCGUAGUCCAGAUUGGAGUNUGCAACUCGACUCCAUGAAGUAGGAAUCGCUAGUAAUCGCGGAUCAGAAUGCCGCGGUGAAUACGUUCCCGGGCCUUGUACACACCGCCCGUCACACCAUGGGAGUUGAUUGCACCAGAAGUGGUUAGCCGAACCUUUAGGACGG